UGGGGUAAUGGCUCACCUAGGCGACGAUCCCUAGCUGGUCUGAGAGGAUGACCAGCCACACUGGAACUGAGACACGGUCCAGACUCCUACGGGAGGCAGCAGUGGGGAAUAUUGCACAAUGGGCGCAAGCCUGAUGCAGCCAUGCCGCGUGUGUGAAGAAGGCCUUAGGGUUGUAAAGCACUUUCAGCGAGGAGGAAGGGUUCAGUGUUUUUUUCUUUUUUUCAUUGACGUUACUCGCAGAAGAAGCACCGGCUAACUCCGUGCCAGCAGCCGCGGUAAUACGGAGGGUGCAAGCGUUAAUCGGAAUUACUGGGCGUAAAGCGCACGCAGGCGGUUUGUUAAGUCAGAUGUGAAAUCCCCGCGCUUAACGUGGGAACUGCAUUUGAAACUGGCAAGCUAGAGUCUUGUAGAGGGGGGUAGAAUUCCAGGUGUA
rnacentral:rRNA from 1 species